rnacentral:rRNA from 1 species
AUUAAGAGCUUGCUCUUAUGAAGUUAGCGGCGGACGGGUGAGUAACACGUGGGUAACCUACCCAUAAGACUGGGAUAACUCCGGGAAACCGGGGCUAAUACCGGAUAAUAUUUUGAACUGCAUAGUUCGAAAUUGAAAGGCGGCUUCGGCUGUCACUUAUGGAUGGACCCGCGUCGCAUUAGCUAGUUGGUGAGGUAACGGCUCACCAAGGCAACGAUGCGUAGCCGACCUGAGAGGGUGAUCGGCCACACUGGGACUGAGACACGGCCCAGACUCCUACGGGAGGCAGCAGUAGGGAAUCUUCCGCAAUGGACGAAAGUCUGACGGAGCAACGCCGCGUGAGUGAUGAAGGCUUUCGGGUCGUAAAACUCUGUUGUUAGGGAAGAACAAGUGCUAGUUGAAUAAGCUGGCACCUUGACGGUACCUAACCAGAAAGCCACGGCUAACUACGUGCCAGCAGCCGCGGUAAUACGUAGGUGGCAAGCGUUAUCCGGAAUUAUUGGGCGUAAAGCGCGCGCAGGUGGUUUCUUAAGUCUGAUGUGAAAGCCCACGGCUCAACCGUGGAGGGUCAUUGGAAACUGGGAGACUUGAGUGCAGAAGAGGAAAGUGGAAUUCCAUGUGUAGCGGUGAAAU